rnacentral:rRNA from 1 species
GAUUUCUGACAUUAAUGCGUUUGGCCCGCUACGGUUACGUAUGUGAGUGCCGAAUCGUGUUUGUCAUCCUUCUAAAAAAUAUUAGUAUUGCUCUUCAUUGAGUAUUGUAUUAAUACAUUUUUAGAUCUUUUACUUUGAAAAAAUUAGAGUGUUUAAAGCAGGCGUUUGCUAUGAAUACAUUAGCAUGGAAUAAUAAUUUAGGACUUUGGUUCUAUUUUGUUGGUUUCUAGAACUGAAGUAAUGAUUGAUAGGGAUAGUUGGGGGUGCUAAUAUUCAAUGGCCAGAGGUGAAAUUCUUGGAUUCAUUGAAGAUUAACUUAUGCGAAAGCAUU